rnacentral:rRNA from 1 species
GAGUUUGAACCUGGCUCAGGAUGAACGCUGGCGGCGUGCUUAACACAUGCAAGUCGAACGAGAACCAUCGGAUCGAGGAUUCGUCCAAGUGAAGGUGGGGAAAGUGGCGGACGGGUGAGUAACGCGUGAGCAAUCUGCCUUGGAGUGGGGAAUAACGGCUGGAAACAGCCGCUAAUACCGCAUGAUACAGCUGGGAGGCAUCUCCCUGGCUGUCAAAGAUUUAUCGCUCUGAGAUGAGCUCGCGUCUGAUUAGCUAGUUGGCGGGGUAACGGCCCACCAAGGCGACGAUCAGUAGCCGGACUGAGAGGUUGGCCGGCCACAUUGGGACUGAGACACGGCCCAGACUCCUACGGGAGGCAGCAGUGGGGAAUAUUGGGCACUGGGCGCAAGCCUGACCCAGCAACGCCGCGUGAAGGAAGAAGGCUUUCGGGUUGUAAACUUCUUUUGUCAGGGACGAAGCAAGUGACGGU